GUGUGUGGCUGGGAGAGAAACGAGAUCAGGGAAGGACGGCUAGCAGAACUGGAAGAGAAAAUGUUGCUGUUGGCAAAAGAUUGCUUUAUUGUUCUACUGUUGGGCUUCAGCCCUUUAACUCUGAAAACUCUAUAUCAGAUAAAGGGUUAUCCAUCCGCAUUUCUUUAACUGCUGCAAUACUGUGCUCCAAGGCAAACUUAUUUGCUCAAGUUACAGCCCAGCUACACACUGAUCCACAGGAUGGGUGCUCCAUUUUACCUCCGGCUGUGUACGUUAAACAAAGCACUACACAGAAGAAGGCACCAGGUGUGGGAACGGCAAACCGGCACAUGUUCAAAAGUUUCAUUUGCUUUGUUGGGUGUGUC